UGGACAUCCAUCAAAAUCGUCAUCUUCGUCUGUCUCACAAUCUUUUCGAACAAAUUCAUGCCAGUAAUUAUAAUCAUAGUCGCCGUCAUCUUCAUCUUCAUCUUCUCCAACAUCAUAAUCAUUACCCUUUCCAUUGUCAACAUCCAUUUACGCGCAACCAGCUACAUUUCCAAUGUCAUCUCCUUUGUUUCCUCCUUUGCCACCUUUCAAUUUCUCCUGACGCCACUUCAAUGUUAGCCUGCUUGUUUUUUCCGCGUUCCACUAAUAUAUGUUCUCCACAGCUAUGUUGACUCAUAUUCUCCGAAGCCAUAUUAACCCCACAAACGGCAUCUGCAGCUGCUCUACUAUCCUUGGAACCUCCCACUUCAGCCGCCUCUGAGUUUAAUCCAAUAGCUGCUUCAAUGGCUUCUACUUGCUUUAUUAAAUUUUCAUCAUCAACAACAAUUCCGGCCAUUGCAUUCUAUUGCGUGAAAAUGUCUCGUUCAGACCUUAAAAAUAUCAUUUCUCCUCCAACAAUCUCUCCAAAUGUGACGAAAACAUUAAAAGAUUUGUCUGUCCGGUGAAGAGGCUUGAAUAUCUUAUAAUCAGUGUCGGUUGCUAUCUCCACUGGUGCCGCCCCUUUACCAACCAUUUCACUGUCUCCAUCAAUAAGCCAAUAGCAAGAAUACUAUCUUUCAACCC
rnacentral:lncRNA from 1 species